GGUCUUGGGGAAGCUAUAGUCUCAUAGGGGCUGUCAGGGAAGGGCAGGAGGGGCAGGGAGACCUCUGAUUUCUCCUCACCUCCCCUUUUCACUCAACGCUUGGGCAGCCCGCCCCACUGGAGUGGUCGCCCUGCACAUCUCUGGAGUCCUCAUUCUCUGAUGGCUAGAGGGACCUGGGUGUCCUGAAGUUGGCCCUGAGAUGUAGCCGUAGGUCAAGAACAAGCUGGUUGCUGUCAGCCUCUCCUUCUUGCUCCCUUCCCCAUGCCCCUGCUCACCCAGGGUCCCUGGAUGACUAGUUUGGGCACUGACCCAACCACAGCUUUUCUCCCAGUGAAAAGGGAUGGGAGGCUUCCUGCCACAGGAGCCCAUGACACUUUGAUGUGCCCUGGGGUCAUGAAAAUGGGCAAAGUUUGCUUCUUUUAGAUUUCCUAGAUCCUUGUCUGUCCAUUUGAUCUUGGGAUAUACAGCACAAGAGCAGCCUAUUAGAAAGCUAUUUAUCAAAGAGAAGACAUGCAAGAGAAGAAACAUCUGCCUCCAUAAAUUGAUUUCUUCCGCUCUUCAAGUACCUGCCUGUGGAUUUAAGUGGAAUUAGAGGAACUGUGGGAAGAUCUCCUACAGAAGAGAAUGGCAACCUACACCAGUAUUCUUGCCUGGAGAAUUUUGUGGACAGAGGAGCCCAGCGGGCCACAGUCCAGAGGGUCUCGAAGAGUCAGACACUACUGAAGCCACUUAGCACGCAUGUAGAGGAGCUACAGGGGAGGCAGGGGGUGUUUGUGUUUCCUCCCUGACAGUCAUCAGUGAACCAGAUUGCAGCUUCUGAAGCUUGCAGAGAGGUGACCUGUAUGAAGGCCUCUCCAUCUCCCGGGGCAGAGAGCAUCCAGUGGAGCACUGUGCAGUUAUUAGAGGGAUAAUGGGAUUCAUUGCAGCAAGGACUGUUUGGCUGGGGCAGAGCUUAUUUUAAUUCUCAAUGUUAAUAAAC
ensembl:lncRNA